UACGUAGGUGGCAAGCGUUGUCCGGAUUUACUGGCGUAAAGAGCGCGCAGGCGGUCGUUCAAGUCGCGUGUGAAAGCCCCCGGCUCCAACUGGGGAGGGUCACGCGAUACUGAUCGACUCGAAGGCAGGAGAGGGAAGUGGAAUUCCCGGUGUAGUGGUGAAAUGCGUAGAUAUCGUAAGGAAGACCAGUGGCGAAGGCGGGUCUCUGGACAGUUCCUGACGCUGAGGCACGAAGGCCAGGGGAGGCAAACGGG
rnacentral:rRNA from 1 species